UUGCACAGUGAACACCCAAGUGUGCUUUCUAGUUCCCUUGGCUUUGACUCUGUGCUAGAGCAAUGUCUGUUCUUUACCUCUGCAUUGAAAGGAGUAUUUGUCCUUUUAAAUGUAUUCAAAAGGUCAGCACAUUU